GCGGAGGCUAUCUGCCUGAGGCGCCACAUGCACUCCGCGUGUACUCAUGUAUGCCGCGGGCCGGAGCUCCGCGCCGGGCCGGUGGGGAGCACUGGUGUUGGGGGGGAGAGGCCUAGUGAAGGGUGGCUUUUGCGGUAUCACUGGAUAUCGUCAAAGCCUCCAACAGCUUGCUCAGCGGGAAGAAAGAGGGCUCUGGAAUUCCAUAGGGUGCCUCCCUAUCUGGGAAGCGUAGUUCGGGCAUAUGUCGGGGCCGGAAUGACAUCUGUACUGGCCAGGGCGGAAAGAUGAUUUGGAGGGUCGUGGUCCGUGGGGUCCCGCAGGGGUCAGUCCUAGAACUAUUC
rnacentral:misc_RNA from 1 species